UGGGGAAUAUUGGACAAUGGGCGAAAGCCUGAUCCAGCCAUGCCGCGUGUGUGAAGAAGGUCUUCGGAUUGUAAAGCACUUUAAGUUGGGAGGAAGGGCAGUAAGCGAAUACCUUGCUGUUUUGACGUUACCGACAGAAUAGGCACCGGCUAACUCUGUGCCAGCAGCCGCGGUAAUACAGAGGGUGCAAGCGUUAAUCGGAAUUACUGGGCGUAAAGCGCGCGUAGGUGGUUCGUUAAGUUGAAUGUGAAAGCCCCGGGCUCAACCUGGGAACUGCAUCCAAAACUGGCGAGCUAGAGUAGGGCAGAGGGUGGUGGAAUUUCCUGUGUAGCGGUGAAAUGCGUAGAUAUAGGAAGGAACACCAGUGGCGAAGGCGACCACCUGGGCUCAUACUGACACUGAGGUGCGAAAGCGUGGGGAGCAAACAGG
rnacentral:rRNA from 1 species